GCCGAAGUGGCGGAAUUGGUAGACGCGCGAGACUCAAAAUCUCGUGGUGGUAACAUCGUGUCGGUUCGAGUCCGACCUUCGGCACCA
rnacentral:tRNA from 1 species